CCCUGGCCAAGAUAGCACAGACAGAAGACCGAUUGGGGUGUUUCGCAAAUGUGAGAGGUGGGUAACCACACUGCACUCCUGUGCUGCGGCCCGUGGCUGCAUUGCCUGCAACGCCCUGCCUGCUGCUGCCUGACUGGUUGGCAAGACGAAGCUCUCCCUGGUGGCCGCGUUGCUGCUG
rfam:Macaca mulatta chromosome 5, whole genome shotgun sequence.